AUUGAACGCUGGCGGCAGGCUUAACACAUGCAAGUCGAGCGGGGUGAUGGUGCUUGCACUAUCACUUAGCGGCGGACGGGUGAGUAAUGCUUAGGAAUCUGCCUAUUAGUGGGGGACAACAUCUCGAAAGGGAUGCUAAUACCGCAUACGUCCUACGGGAGAAAGCAGGGGAUCACUUGUGACCUUGCGCUAAUAGAUGAGCCUAAGUCGGAUUAGCUAGUUGGUGGGGUAAAGGCCUACCAAGGCGACGAUCUGUAGCGGGUCUGAGAGGAGGAUCCGCCAAACUGGGACUGGGACACGGCCCAGACUCCUACGGGAGGUAGCAGUGGGGAAUAUUGGACAAUGGGGGGAACCCUGAUCCAGCCAUGCCGCGUGUGUGAAGAAGGCCUUAUGGUUGUAAAGCACUUUAAGCGAGGAGGAGGCUCUUUUGGUUAAUACCCAAGAUGAGUGGACGUUACUCGCAGAAUAAGCACCGGCCAACUCUGUGCCAGCCGCCGCAGUAA
rnacentral:rRNA from 1 species